rnacentral:rRNA from 1 species
AUGGUCAAGCUACUAAGGGCACACGGUGGAUGCCUUGGCGCGAGUAGGCGAAGAAGGACGUGGCUAGCUGCGAUAAGCUUCGGGGAGCCGCUAAGCAGGCAUUGAUCCGGAGAUCUCCGAAUGGGGCAACCCGGCCGCGGUAAUGCGCGGUCAUCCUGCGCUGAAUCCAUAGGCGCAGGAGGCGAACGCGGGGAAGUGAAACAUCUCAGUACCCGCAGGAAGAGAAAUCAACCGAGAUUCCGUCAGUAGCGGCGAGCGAACGCGGAAGAGCCCAAACCGUGGGUAGCAAUACCCACGGGGUUGUGGGGCUGCUCAGGGGUCACCCCGGGGAGUCACCAAACCGGCGUGUAGCCGAAGGAGCCUGGAAAGGCCAACCAGAGCGGGUGAUAGUCCCGUAGGCGAAACGCGGCCGGUCUCCCUGGAGCAGUUCCCGAGUACCGCGGGACACGUGCAAUCCCGCGGGAAGCUGGGGGGACCAUCCUCCAAGGCUAAACACUCACUCGCGACCGAUAGUGAACUAGUACCGUGAGGGAAAGGUGAAAAGCACCCCGGUGAGGGGAGUGAAAGAGUACCUGAAACCGUGUGCUUACAAGCAGUGGGAGGGCGUUCCCGGGACCUCGGUCUCGGGUGCCUGACCGCGUGCCUUUUGCUUAAUGAGUCUGCGACUUACUUUGCGCGGCGAGGUUAAGCCGAUCGAGGUGGAGCCGGAGCGAAAGCGAGUCCGAAUAGGGCGUCUAGUCGCGCGGAGUAGACCCGAAGCGGGAUGAUCUACCCAUGGCCAGGGUAAAGGCCCGGUAACACGGGCUGGAGGCCCGAACUGGUGAAGGUUGAAAACUUCUCGGAUGAGCUGUGGGUAGGGGUGAAAGGCUAAUCAAAUUCCGUGAUAGCUGGUUCUCCCCGAAAUAUAUUUAGGUAUAGCCUCGGGAGAUCACUGCCGGAGGUAGAGCACUGAAUGGG